UGUCACAACAACGUGUCCCCAGCCAGACUGCCAGGGGCCGAGGUGGGGGAACAGCGCCCCCUUGAACAGCCUGGCUCUUGACAUUCAAUAGCUUCCCAGCCCCCUCUCCCAAGGGCUUUGUGGCUCCAAGAAGGCCUGACAGCCUUUCUGUGGCUCCCACCCAAAUCAGCCCAUCACCCCACCAGUAUCUGGGUGCCUUCCAGUGAUGUACAGAGUAACGUGGCUAGCCUUCAUGCAGUUCCUUUUCCAAGGAUCCAGGAGUGGGAAAGAGGCACAGAGCAAUGGAGUAACUUGCCCCAGGUCACACAGCAGAUCCAUGGUAGAGGACAGAACAGAACCUGUGUCUUCUGACUAUCAGUAGAUGCGUCAGAGGGAGUGAACAGAACAAAACAGAGUGAUCCAUCCCCUGUAAUCCAGUCCCCAAAAAUGGGAGUGCUUCUUCUAGAUGCCUGCUCCAGUGAUGUACAGCAACGAGUAUUUUUAUUACAUUAUGAAAACGGCAACAC